rnacentral:rRNA from 1 species
AGCUCCAAUAGCGUAUAUUCAAAUUGUUGCGGUUAAAAAGCUCGUAGUUGGAUUUCUGCUGAGGACGAUCGGCGCGCCCACUGGGUGAGUAUCUGGCUCGGCCUUGGCAUCUUCUUGGAGAGCGUUGCUGCACUUGACUGUGUGGUGCGGUAUCCAAGACUUUUACUUUGAGGAAAUUAGAAUGUUUCAAGCAAGCGCACGCCUUGAAUACAUUAGCAUGGAAUAAUAAGAUAGGGCAUAGGUUCUCUUUUAUGGUUUCUAGAGCUGAGGUAAUGAUCAAUAGGGAUAGUUGGGGGCAUUCGUAUUUAACUGUCAGAGGUGCAAUUCUUGGAUUGGUUAAAGACGGACUACUGCGAAAGCAUUUGCCAAGGAUGUGUUCAUUGAUCAAGAACGAAAGUAG